AUCCUGGCUCAGCGCGAACGCUGGCGGCAUGGCUAAAACAUGCAAGUCGAACGCGAAAGCACUUCGGUGCAAGUAGAGUGGCGGAAGGGCGAGUAAUGCGUAUCUAACGUGCCCCUGGGUCAGGGAUAGCGACUGGAAACGGUCGGUAAUACCUGAUGAUCCCGAUGAGCCGCAUGGUUUUUCGGGCAAAGGCUUGCCACCCAGGGAUCGGGAUACGUCCUAUCAGCUUGUUGGUGAGGUAAUGGCUCACCAAGGCUUAGACGGGUAGCCGGUGUGAGAGCAUGACCGGCCGCAUCGGGACUGAGACACUGCCCGGACUCCUACGGGAGGCUGCAGUAACGAAUAUUCCGCAAUGCGCGAAAGCGUGACGGGGCAAUGCCGCGUGAAGGAUGAAGCCCCUAGGGGUGUAAACUUCUGUCAGGGUCCACCAAGCUCUGAGGGGACCCAAAGGAAGGACCGGCUAACUUCGUGCCAGCAGCCGCGGUAAUACGAAGGGUCCGAGCGUUGCGCGGAAUCACUGGGCUUAAAGGGUGCGCAGGCGGACUGGCAAGUACUUUGUGAAAUCCCUCGGCUCAACCGAGGAAUUGCUUGGUAAACUGCCCGUCUUGAGCCCGGCAGAGGUCGUCGGAACGGUAGGUGGAGCGGUGAAAUGCGUAGAUAUCUACCGGAACGCCAAAGGUGAAGACAGGCGACUGGGCCGGAGCUGACGCUCAGGCACGAAAGCGUGGGUAGCGAACGGGAUUAGAUACCCCGGUAGUCCACGCCCUAAACGAUGUGCACUAGAUCGAGGAGGUUUUGACGCCAUCUCGGUCGAAGUAAAAACGUUAAGUGCACCGUCUGGGGAGUACGGUCGCAAGAUUAAAACUCAAAGGAAUUGACGGGGGCUCACACAAGCGGUGGAGCAUGUGGCUUAAUUCGAAGCAACGCGAAGAACCUUAUCCAGGUUUUGACAUGCACGGAUUAGUGAUCCGAAAGGUGAUCGACGCUCUUUGAGUGGAACGUGCACAGGUGCUGCAUGGCUGUCGUCAGCUCGUGCUGUGAAGUGUCGGGUUAAGUCCCUUAACGAGCGAAACCCCUGCCGUUAGUCGCUAACAUUUAGUUGAGGACUCUAGCGGGACUGCCGGUGUCAAACCGGAGGAAGGUGGGGACGACGUCAAGUCAUCAUGGCCUUUAUGCCCUGGGCUGCACACGUGCUACAAUGCGGCGGACAGAGCGACGCAAUACCGCAAGGUGGAGCAAAUCGCAAAAACCGCCGCCCAGUUCGGAUUGCAGACUGCAACUCGUCUGCAUGAAGUUGGAAUCGCUAGUAAUCGUGUAUCAGCAAUGACGCGGUGAAUACGUUCCUGAGCAUUGUACACACCGCCCGUCACGCCAUGGAAGCUGGGAGCACCCGAAGUCGCC
rnacentral:rRNA from 1 species